UGAGGUAGAGGUGCGGUAAAUAAGAGUAUACUAUGUGAGGAUGACAACGGUGAUCAUAGUUGAAAGGAUUUUCCGCCGAAGCAAAAAUUGACAGGUCAAUGUUAUUUUUGUUGGGGUUGCCUUGAAAAAGGGUAACACUGUCAUUAUAGAAUUUAUUUCUAUAAUGGAGGGCUACUGA
rnacentral:ncRNA from 1 species